GACGAACCGAGCGAACGUUGUUCGGAAUCACUGGGCUUAAAGGGUGCGUAGGCGGGCUAUCAAGUCUGGGGUGAAAUGCCGCGGCUCAACCGUGGAACUGCCUCAGAUACUGACGGCCUCGAGGGGGGUAGGGGCAUGCGGAACUGUAGGUGGAGCGGUGAAAUGCGUUGAUAUCUACAGGAACUCCGGUGGCGAAAGCGGCGUGCUGGACCCCUUCUGACGCUGAGGCACGAAAGCUAGGGGAGCAAACGGG
rnacentral:rRNA from 1 species